rnacentral:rRNA from 1 species
UACGUAGGGUGCGAGCGUUGUCCGGAAUUAUUGGGCGUAAAGAGCUUGUAGGCGGUUUGUCGCGUCUGCCGUGAAAAUUCGAGGCUCAACCUCGAACUUGCGGUGGGUACGGGCAGACUGGAGUUCGGCAGGGGAGACUGGAAUUCCUGGUGUAGCGGUGGAAUGCGCAGAUAUCAGGAGGAACACCGGUGGCGAAGGCGGGUCUCUGGGCAGUUGCUGACACUGAGGCGCGACAGCGUGGGGAGCAAACAGG